UGCUGGGAAGGCGGAUCCGCGACGGAGGAGUGAAAUGGAGCUUCCUAGACUAGCCGGGGUGGCCACCUGAAGACACCUAAACCAAUGCCUCUCAGUACUUAGGCUUCCGGAGCAGUGGUUUCCAUGCUGAGAAGCGAAUUCUGACCGCUUUUCCUGUGGUAAAUGGCAACAAAAGGGAAGUUCACAGGCCUUCUGAUCAAAAAGAAGUGCAUCCAAUAUAGUAUAAAGACCUACUACAGGUAAAUUUCAUCUGGACCUAGAUCUGAUUUGGAUGACAACAUCCUUAACUUUGAGCUGAUGCAGACUUCUGAGAAAUCUAAGGAGGCGAGCAUAUUUGGUGUGUGGUAGAAAGUAGACAGUUUGUGGCCGGAGGGCAGACUGUGGUUGAUUUUGCAUGUCCACAAAUACGUCGAUAUUUCACCCUUUAAGAAGUGGUGGAAACCACCCCUACCAAAGUAUGGGAUGGACUUAAUGGUCUGUUUCAGGAAAAUCAAAUAAGGCAGAUGUAGCAGUGUGUUAACUUCUAAGACUAAAUCAUAAAAUACAUAUUUCCUUUCUUUUUCGUGUCACCUAUUUGAGGAAAGCCAGCUGCUACAUUGUUAGAGUGCUUACUCAGCCUGAUGGAGAACCUACGAGGUGAAAGACUGGGAUCCCCUGCCAACAGCCAGGUAAAAGGUCUUACUAAGGAAGUUAAGGACUCGGAGAUGAAGAUAGCAUCCAGAUUAUCCAAGUGGGUCCAAAAGGAAACCUUAAAUCUCCUUGUAAGAGACAAAGAGGACCCACACGGGAGAGACCUGCAAGAAGCUUCUGGCUCCAGGCUUCAGAUCAGCUCAGCUCCGGCCAUUGCAGCCAGUUGGGGAGUGAACCAGUAGAUGCAAGACUUUCUCUCUCUCUCUGCCUUUCAAAUAAAAAAACAAAUAAAUAAAUCUUUAAAAGAAAACCAUUAAAAAACAAAACAAAACAAAACAAAAAAAAAAAAACACCACACACAAAGGGAGACCAGGUUAAGCUGCUAUCUGCAGUACCAGCAUCCCAUAUGGGUGCGGGGUCCAGUCCUGGUUGCUCCUGAUUCAGCCCCAUGCUAAUGUGCCUGAGAAAGCAUCGGAAGAUGGGCCCAGGUACUUGGGCCCCUAGACCCCAUGGGCGAGACCCAGAUGAAGCUCCUGGCUCCUGGUUUUAGCCUGGCCCAGCCCUGGCUGUUGUGGCCAUUGUGGAAUGAACCAGCAGAGGGGAGACUUCUCUUUUUGCUUCUGCAUGUCCCUCUCUAUAAUUCCAUCUUUCAAAUAAAUAAAUAAAUCUUAAAGAAAAAAAAAGACACACACAAAAAUGAGGAGGAAGCAGAGAUAAAGUGAUAUAGCUUCAAGUAGUCACCAGAAAUAUGGAGUAAUGAACAAAAUGGAUUUGUUUCUCUGAACUUCCAGGGUUAAUGCAAGCGCUUCUAAUACCCUUGGAUGUUUAGCCACCAACACUGGUUUUAAGGCACACAGUUUAUGAUAAUCUGUCACAGUAUCCAUAAGAAACUAAUACACGGUGAAGGCACCACACUAGAGUAGGAGCACAUAUCAACGUUCAUGUACAUGAGAUCCUUUUACGAAAAGCAAGCCCUAAUGCACCAUGUAAAUAAUUCUUCUCUAU